GCAACACCGGUCCUUCUUCCUAGAAGCCCAAGUGCUUUGAGAUCAAGAAGUGGAACACCAUUGCUAUAUGAGCUUUUAUUUUUUUCUCCCUCCUUAAAUUCUAAUUUUUCUGAUUCUUUUUUUUUUUGAAAUUCACUUUUUCAUUUUUUUUUACAGACAUCAUUGUCGAUAACUGUGUUAUCUGUUGAAACUACAUCAUGGAUCUAUGUAUCGAGUGCCAAUCCAACCAGACUAGCGUCACUAGCGAGGAAUGCACUGUGACAUGGGGUAUGAAAAAAGAAGCUUAAAAUGAUUUAACUUUUGUUGGAAACAUUUAUAAACCAUAGCAUAGACAUCAAACUAUAAGAUUUUAUGAUGUGGACAUCAAAGUCCAAGCCCAUGACAACCACCAGACCCAGACUCAUGACCAGAUGGAAGCCCAAGACCCAAUCCAAGGCAUAGGAGGACCCAUGACAAGAGCAAGAGCGCAAAAGGCCCAAAAGCUUUGGAGCAUAUGGUGACUAUUCUGAGGUCAGUUCAAAUGCAGGGAGAGACCUAACAUUUGGAGGCCCACAAGGGAUAGUUGCUAGUCCUAUGUGUUGAAUGCUUGGAAUGAAGGCCCAUUUAUAGACUUUGGGAUUUUACAUUUCUCUUAUUUUGUUGAGAACUAAUUUGUAUAAAACCUUUUGGAACUGAAUGAAGAGGACAAUUGUGGUUUUUGUCAAAAGUGUGAGCAUUGUCUCUGCUAGGGUUCUUCCUUGAACCAACUGAUCUUAUAAGGAAUUCACCCAAUUCUUGUGGCGAUCCUCUAUCUAGGCUUAUCAAACCUCGUUGUUUGUGGUGCCUAUUCGAUUUUCUGUCUUCCAUGUUUUUCUGUUCGUUUCUGCAUUUCAGCGUUCUUCAGUUAGUGCCUUUAGCCUGAUUUUCCCAGGUUCGUUCUACACGUUUUAUGAGUUUGUUUCUGUUGUUUCUUGACCCUAAAUUGUAGUUCAGAGCGUAAUCUUUCUCCUUAUUUUGGAAUCACUCAAAUCCGAGAUCUGUACACUGAGAUACGAUCGAAAAUUAAAACUCAUUCUGGGUUGUUGUUGGUGCUCGAAUUCCAUCCUAGAAGAUCCAAUUUGAACCAAGCACUUGGUUUUCCCAUCAUUUUAGGUGCAUGGGUCUCUCUGGAGCUUGUAUCACCACAUAUGGAGCAUUUCACGCAAUCUUGGUGCA